rnacentral:lncRNA from 1 species
CAGAAUCCAAUAAUUUCAAAAAAUGGCUGAUUAUAUCAUUUCAAGAACCUCACAAUUCCAAAAACUAAAAACCCACUUCAAAGAUGUAAUAUUUUUCUCUCUUCCUCUUUUUGGGUUUUUUUUUCUUUUUUUUUAUCAAUUCUCUUCUGGGUUUUUGUUUACAGUGUAAAAUCAACACUAAUUUACUAAUUUUGCUUUGAUUUCAAACACUAUUGAGGCGUGAUAACCUGUUGCAAGCUCAGCCAUGGCGGCUACUGCGAAAUCUAACGGAAAAACCAUCACAGACUCUGCCAUUUCAUCCAAGGUUCCGACAAUAGCAAAACGAAUAGCUGUCGCAGAUUUCUUCCAACAUCAAUCACUACGCGAAAUUAAUUGUCAAUGAAGACGAUCCCAUUCCCCUUCGAAAUCUGCUGGGGAAAGAGACCUUCUUUCAGAUCUGCUCUGAGACCGGUUUAUGCGAGAGAGUGGUGAGCCUGACGACAGAGAGAAAUAAGGGCAGGAUUGGAAAAUUGGAAAGUUCAUUUAUUGGUUACUGUUUAUCCGUGUUUCUUCGAAAUAAGCUGCUUUUUCCAGCUUUGGGUUUCAGUGUUUUUUAACCCAUAAUUUUGAAAGAAAAAAAACUGAUUUUAAAUGUUUAUCAAACACUUAAAAUGUUCCAAUCUUUUUUCAUACCUACUUUUUAUUAAAAGUUAAGCUAAACAAAAAUCAAGAUUAAGUUUACUACUCUGAAGUUUCUUGCUUUUCAACAUUUCAUACAUUGAAUUUUUCUCAUCCAGUGUCAUAUCUAAGGUGGGAAUUGUGGGACACUUUUAUACAUCCGUUAGAUUUUAUGUGAAUUGCGUGGCACUUUUAUACAUCCGUUAAAUUUUUUGUGAGAACCUUCGCUGACCCACGAUGCGGCAUGCAUGUGGACAUUAAAAAAAUUCAAAAAAUUCAAAAAAUUUUAAAAUUUUAAAAUUUAAAAUUCAAAAAUACUAAAAACCUAAACUUUUCAUAAUAUUGAAAGACUGAAUCUUUUCACAGUCAGCCAAAUUUUCUUCAAAUUUUAAUUAGAUGAAAUAAUGAAUCUUGAACAAAGCAAAACAAAACGUAAUAUUGAGAGAUUCAGUCAUUGAAGUGGACGUGGAUGUUGGGUACUCAAUAGUCCAAGAAUGAAAACUCUCAUAUCAGUUUCUAUCCAAAAUUUUGGAAUUAUGUGUGUUGCAACGAUUGUCCAAAGGAUUAUUCUUCUUUUAUUAAAUUUCCAUGAAAAAUGAGCAUGGAGCACAAAAGUUGAACGAAUGAUUAUUCUUCUUUUAUUAAAUUUCCAUGGAAAAUGAGCAUGGGGCACAAAAGUUGAACGAAUGAAAUUUCAACGAUUUGAAAAGGGAUUGUGAGUUUGACAUGUCAUUUUUCUUCCUCUAAUGCAAUCAUGUUUAUUAAAAGACAAAAAUAAAUAUGACUUUACAUAAGGAGAGAGAAGGAGUAGUUUUCUUUGAAAAAAUCAACCAUUUAUUGAAGAGGAUGUGGAUGUUGAUUGAUGCGUCGUGAAUACGAAAAAAAGGACCUUGAAAGGAGUUGAGACAUUCAUUAAAAGCUAGAAGAAAAAAAAGUUAAAAGUGUUUUAGAAAAAAAGCAAGAAAGCCUCAUUUUCAAAGUUGUGGUCAUUGCACAAUACUUGAUUAGAAGAAAACUCAUAGUAUUGUAUUUACAAUUUCAAGUCUUUAUGGGGAACGAGAGAGCAAGUUUUCCAAUUGGAAUAUGAUAUGAAAUUUCUACAUAACUAUAUAUGACAAUGAAAGAAGUCUAAGUUUCUAAAUGGAAGGGCUUCCAAUUGAUGUGAGUUUGUUGAGAAAUUAGUGAACAACAGAACAAGUUGCUUCUCCUUUGGCCUUCUAACAUGAUAUCACAGAAAACAAGUUGUUACUAAUAAAUGUAUCUGAUUGGUGGACUUAGACGUGCGCGGUACGAUUUUUGAUAACUAGAGAAGAUGGGCAGUGUCAUGACAAAAUUUAUCCAAGUAGACCCAAAGGAAUGACUUAGGAACUUCAUAUGCAGUGGGAUAAAAUCUUAAGCUAAUUUCCUUACCUAUCUUAUAGGCAUUAAGUAAAAUGUAUAUGCAUAUUUCUAGACACACCAAUUUACUUAAUAUUAACUUCUUUCAAAUACCCAUUUGCAGAAACGCAAAGCUCUCUUGCAUGCUUGUUGUAAUGCUUAUGUAGUGCGUAUCCUAUAUCUUAUAUAUAUAUCUUACUUUUUGUGAUCCAUUUUUUCAUCACUAUGCCAAACGAAUAGCAAAACGAAUAGCUGUCGCAGAUUUCUUCCAACAUCAAUCACCACGCGAAAUUAAUUGUCAAUGAAGACGAUCCCAUUCCCCUUCGAAAUCUGCUGGGGGAAAGAGGCCUUCUUUC